UGGGGAAUAUUGGACAAUGGGGGAAACCCUGAUCCAGCGAUGCCGCGUGUGUGAAGAAGGCCUACGGGUCGUAAAGCACUUUCGGCAGGAAAGAAGGUUUUUAGGUGAAUAGUCUAGAAAUUUGACGGUACCUGCAUAAGAAGCACCGGCCAACUCUGUGCCAGCAGCCGCGGUAAGACAGAGGGUGCAAGCGUUAAUCGGAAUGAUUGGGCGUAAAGGGUGCGUAGGUGGUUGAUUUAGUCAGAUGUUAAAUCUUCAGGCUUAACCUGAAGUAUAUAUCUGAUACUGAUCUUCUGGAGUACAGUAGAGGGGCAUGGAAUUCUCGGUGUAGCAGUGAAAUGCGUAGAUAUCGAGAGGAACAUCGGUGGCGAAGGCGAUGCUCUGGACUGUUACUGACACUGAGGCACGAAAGCAUGGGGAGCAAACAGG
rnacentral:rRNA from 1 species